GGUAUUAUUAUUUCGAUAAUUUGCCUAUGCUGCCAGUCCUAAGUCCUGAUCAAUGUCAAACUAAUUCCAUGGCACUAAACAGAAGCUAACAGCAUCAUAUUGGUAAAUCAUCUAGUUCAGUGAUUGUCUAUAUGGGUAUUACUGUAAAUUGCAAAUACAUGUUCACCAGAAGCUAACAAAUGUUUGCACCAAAGAAACAAAGCAAAGAUAAAUUGCAUAAAUUAAUCCAAGAAAAUUAUGUCUUCCAGGGUGCCAUUCAUUUUCAACUAAAUU
rnacentral:misc_RNA from 1 species